CCUACGGGAGGCAGCAGUGAGGAAUAUUGGUCAAUGGGCUUACGCCUGAACCAGCCAAGUCGCGUGAGGGAAGACUGCCCUAUGGGUUGUAAACCUCUUUUGUCAGGGAGCAACGCCGGCUACGUGUAGCCGGACUGAGAGUACCUGAAGAAAAAGCAUCGGCUAACUCCGUGCCAGCAGCCGCGGUAAUACGGAGGCUGCGAGCGUUAUCCGGAUUUAUUGGGUUUAAAGGGUGCGUAGGCGGAAUGCCAAGUCAGCGGUAAAAUCGCGGGGCUCAACCUCGCUCCGCCGUUGAAACUGGCGGUCUUGAGUGGGCGAGAAGUAUGCGGAAUGCGUGGUGUAGCGGUGAAAUGCAGAGAUAUCACGCAGAACUCCGAUUGCGAAGGCAGCAUACCGGCGCCCAACUGACGCUGAAGCACGAAAGCGUGGGUAUCGAACAGGAUUAGAUACCCCAGUAGUC
rnacentral:rRNA from 1 species